rnacentral:rRNA from 1 species
CCUACGGGUGGCAGCAGUGGGGAAUAUUGGGCAAUGGGCGCAAGCCUGACCCAGCAACGCCGCGUGAAGGAAGAAUGCUUUCGGUUUGUAAACUUCUUUUCUGAGGGACGAAGAAAGUGACGGUACCUCAGGAAUAAGCCACGGCUAACUACGUGCCAGCAGCCGCGGUAAUACUUAGGUGGCAAGCGUUAUCCGGAUUUAUUGGGUGUAAAGGGCGUGUAGGCGGGAAAGCAAGUCAGAUGUGAAAACUCAGGGCUCAAACCUGAGCCUGCAUUUGAAACGGUUUUUCUUGAGUGCUGGAGAGGAAAUCGGAAUGCCGUGUGUAGCGGUGAAAUGCGUAGAUAUACGGAGGAACACCAGUGGCGAAGGCGGAUUGCUGGACAGUAACUGACGCUGAGGCGCGAAAGCGUGGGGAGCAAACAGGAUUAGAUACCCUAGUAGUC